rnacentral:rRNA from 1 species
GUGCCAGCCGCCGCGGUAAUACCGGCAGCCCGAGUGAUGGCCGAUCUUAUUGGGCCUAAAGCGUCCGUAGCUGGCUGGACAAGUCCGUUGGGAAAUCCACCCGCUUAACGGGUGGGCGUCCAGCGGAAACUGUCCGGCUUGGGGCCGGAGGACCCGAGGGGUACGUCCGGGGUAGGAGUGAAAUCCUGUAAUCCUGGACGGACCGCCGGUGGCGAAAGCGCCUCGGGAGGACGGACCCGACAGUGAGGGACGAAAGCUGGGAUCUCGAACCGGAUUAGAUACCCGUGUAGUCC